rnacentral:rRNA from 1 species
UACGAAGGGUGCAAGCGUUACUCGGAAUUACUGGGCGUAAAGCGUGCGUAGGUGGUUUGUUAAGUCUGUUGUGAAAGCCCCGGGCUCAACCUGGGAAUGGCAAUGGAUACUGGCAAGCUAGAGUGCGGUAGAGGGUAGUGGAAUUCCCGGUGUAGCGGUGAAAUGCGUAGAGAUCGGGAGGAACACCAGUGGCGAAGGCGGCCCCCUGGCUCGUACCUGACGCUCAGCCACGAAAGCAUGGGGAGCGAACGGG